rnacentral:rRNA from 1 species
GGAAUUUUCCGCAAUGGGCGAAAGUCUGACGGAGCGACGCUGCGUGAAGGAUGACGGCCUGCGGGCUGUAAACUUCUUUUCUCGAAGAAGAAGCUCUGACGGUAUUCGAGGAAUAAGCAUCGGCUAACUCCGUGCCAGCAGCCGCGGUAAUACGGAGGAUGCAAGUGUUAUUCGGAAUGAUUGGGCGUAAAGCGUCUGUAGGCUGUAUAGAAAGUCUUUUGUUAAAUGCCUCGGCUCAACCGGGAUCCAGCAAAGGAAACUUCUAUACUUGAGGGAAGUAGAGGUACAGGGAAUUCCCGGUGGAGCGGUGAAAUGCGUAGAUAUCGGGAGGAACACCAAUAUGGCGAAGGCACUGUACUGGGCUUUACCUGACGCUCAGAGACGAAAGCUAAAGGAGUGAUUAGGAUUAGAUACCCCAGUAGUC